rnacentral:rRNA from 1 species
CCUACGGGAGGCUGCAGUGGGGAAUAUUGGGCAAUGGGCGCAAGCCUGACCCAGCAACGCCGCGUGAAGGAAGAAGGCCCUCGGGUUGUAAACUUCUUUUAUUCGGGACGAAACAAAUGACGGUACCGAAUGAAUAAGCCACGGCUAACUACGGGCCAGCAGCCGCGGUAAUACGUAGGUGGCAAGCGUUAUCCGGAUUUACUGGGUGUAAAGGGCGUGUAGGCGGGAGAGCAAGUCAGACGUGAAAUUCCAGGGCUCAACCCUGGAACUGCGUUUGAAACUGUUCUUCUUGAGUGAUGGAGAGGCAGGCGGAAUUCCUAGUGUAGCGGUGGAAUGCGUAGAUAUUAGGAGGAACACCAGUGGCGAAGGCGGAUUGCUAGACUGUAACUGACACUGAGGCACGAAAGCGUGGGGAGCAAACAGGAUUAGAUACCCGAGUAGUC